rnacentral:rRNA from 1 species
AAGCGGUGGAUGAUGUGGAUUAAUUCGAUGCAACGCGAAGAACCUUACCUACCCUUGACAUGUCCGGAACUUGCCAGAGAUGGCUUGGUGCCCGAAAGGGAACCGGAACACAGGUGCUGCAUGGCUGUCGUCAGCUCGUGUCGUGAGAUGUUGGGUUAAGUCCCGCAACGAGCGCAACCCUUGUCCUUAGUUGCUACGCAAGAGCACUCUAAGGAGACUGCCGGUGACAAACCGGAGGAAGGUGGGGAUGACGUCAAGUCCUCAUGGCCCUUAUGGGUAGGGCUUCACACGUCAUACAAUGGUCGGUACAGAGGGUUGCCAAGCCGCGAGGUGGAGCCAAUCCCACAAAGCCGAUCGUAGUCCGGAUUGUUCUCUGCAACUCGAGAGCAUGAAGUCGGAAUCGCUAGUAAUCGCAGGUCAGCAUACUGCGGUGAAUACGUUCCCGGGCCUU